UCGAGGAUCUUCGGCAAUGGGCGCAAGCCUGACCGAGCGACGCCGCGUGUGCGAUGAAGGCCUUCGGGUUGUAAAGCACUGUCGAGGGGGAGAAAAGCCGCAAGGCUUGAUCGACCCCUGGAGGAAGCACGGGCUAAGUUCGUGCCAGCAGCCGCGGUAAGACGAACCGUGCGAACGUUGUUCGGAAUCACUGGGCUUAAAGGGUGCGUAGGCUGGCAGGCAAGUCAGGGGUGAAAUCCCACGGCUUAACCGUGGAAGUGCCUUUGAUACUGCUUGUCUGGAGGGGGAUAGGGGCGUGCGGAACUUCCGGUGGAGCGGUGAAAUGCGUAGAUAUCGGAAGGAACACCGGUGGCGAAAGCGGCGCGCUGGAUCCCUACUGACGCUGAGGCACGAAAGCCAGGGGAGCAAACGGGAUUAGAUACCCCUGUAGUCC
rnacentral:rRNA from 1 species